CAGUCGCCGCGGUAAUACGAAGGUCCCAAGCGUUGUUCGGAAUCACUGGGCGUAAAGGGAGCGUAGGCGGCGUGGUAAGUCAGAUGUGAAAUCCCGGGGCUCAACCCCGGAACUGCAUCCGAUACUGCCAUGCUUGAGGGUUGGAGAGGUAGCUGGAAUUCUCGGUGUAGCGGUGAAAUGCGUAGAGAUCGGGAGGAACAUCAGUGGCGAAGGCGGCUCACUGGACCAUAACUGACGCUGAGGCGCGAAAGCUAGGGGAGCAAACAGGAUUAGAUACCCCCGUAGUCCCUGUCUCUUAUAC
rnacentral:rRNA from 1 species